rnacentral:lncRNA from 1 species
AACUAUUAACCACAUCAAUUAAUUUAAAAUAAAAAUAAUACAAUAUACUCCAUACUAGUUCAAUACAAAAAUCGGUUCAUUAGUAACGAUCCCUAGAUUUAAAUUACAACACAUUUAGAUAUAUGACUACAUGCUUAAAGAAAAUUUGUUAUCUCCACCGAACACCCCAUAUGGUUUUAGGCUCUUUCACUUGUCACCAACUAUUAAAAAGGGCCUUUGAAUUACAAAGUCAGCUAUAGAGCUGCUUUGCAAAUCAAUAUCUUUUAUUCCAAACCAAUAGAUCUCAAAUUUUCCCUUUUUCUUGUUCUAACUCCACAUACAAAUCAAGAAAAUAAGAAAACUUUGGUGAAGAGUAGUUUAUUAGCAUCAUAUAUUUGAAAGAAUAAAGAGAAAACAGUAGGCAACAACAAUGAAAAGGGAUCAGAUCUAUUAUAGCUCAUGAUGCAAAGCCAAGUAUAAGCAGAACAGAAAUAGCAAAGGCCAUAACAUGGAACAAGACUUGAAAACUAAAUAUGAUGGUAUACAGAUCAAUCAAUAUAGUCUUCUAAAAUACUCAGCAACUAAAGAAGGCAAGCUUUAUAACAUUAUGAACAAGCAUAUACACUAUGGAAACAUUUAUCAACUCAGAAAAAUAAGAUGUAGCUUUGAGAGACAAUUUCAAAGAAGAAGAAACUUAGUAAAAGACAUAUAAUUCAUCAGGGACACCAGUUCACAUUUUCAUUCAUAUAUAUCCAAAGAGAGCUACAGAUAAGAUAUAAAUAUACCUACUGUAAUAAACAAGAGCUGAGACUAAAUAAGGGUCUAGUGGCCAAUAGGAAAUCCAAUAACAAACCUAGAAAAAGAAGCAAUCAUCAGGCAAUUAAACAACAGGAAUGAAGAAACUCCAACACCAGAAAACUAGUUUCAGUUCAAGAUCCAGCUUAGAUAAACCAAAGUUUUUAAGAGAAAUCAGAAAUUCUGAACCUUUUCAGUAAAUGCAAAAGAUUUUUGUGAGUCAAAACCAAUCUCAAAAUGAGUGUUCAUUAAGAGAAUGUUUUCUAUGUAUUCAAAAUAUUUCUUGGGGUCAGUAUGCUGAUGAAUGUGUGUGAUAAUGAGUGAAGGUCUUUUUCUUUCAUAGAGUGUACAAAAACAACAUAAAAAGGAAUAUUCUAUCCUAAAAUUCUGAAAUAUUAGAAAGCACAACAUAUAUUAACAGUUGCAUGUCCUUUUUUAACCUAAUUUCAGCAUUUUCAUGCUAAGAAUGGGGACGACUGUUCAAUAUUAGAAAUUUCUGAUAUUUUCUCAUUUUAAAAUAAUAAUUUUACCCUUUUAAAUUUUGCUUAUUACAAUUUUAAAAACAAUCUGACCUAAAUUCAAAUUGUUUGACUACCGAUUAACCCUUUCUAGAAGCUUCUGAUAUCAAACCUCUAUUUUAUUUCCCUAUUAGCCCCUUUUAUGUUCUUGUUAUUACCUUUUCAACCUUUUAAUUUUUAGUUGUUAUCAGCUAAGGUUUCUAUUGAAUCUGAAUAGCAGACAAGGACACAUAUCAGACCUCAUACCAAGCAAAUUAAGACUGAACGACACAUCAUGUGAUUACAACACUAGGGUUAAUUAAACAACAACUUAUAAUCUAAAUUACUAACAUAUAUUAUAAGUAAUCUAAAUACAGAAACUAAUUUAGUUAAGUUGGUUCAACUGGACAAAACAAAGAGAGGUUAACUAAAUAACAAUGUUGUUAACUAGAGAAUUAUGCAGUUAAUCUAAACUAAACCUUAUUUUAUGUUGUAGUAAAGAGAAAAAGCUAACAAAAAUAAAGAUAAAACUUGAAACCUAAAAUUGUAAUGCAGAUUUAAUAAUGCAUGAGAGAAAAAUAGAAAAGAAAAGGGAAAGAAGAAAACACGAUUGAGUUUACUGGAAAUUAAGUUGGCAACCGAGGUGGCCGAUGAGCUAUGCAAGCAUCAGAGCUUGGCUGGCAAAAAUGUAUGUGGUCGGAGUUCGGCAAGUCUUGAAAUAAAUCAAAACUAACGCUAAUCAAUUGUUCUUAUCAAGAACAAUUGAUUGGCAUAAAAUUUUGCUCAAAUUGAGCCUUUGAAACCGUAAAAAUAAAAAUAAAAAAGGUACGGGAUAGGGUUUUGGCUUUCUUUCAGAAUUUUUGAUCUGAAAAUGAAGGAAAUUGGAAAAAGAUUUUGGAGAAAUCAGUGGUAGAUAUGAGAUAAAGAGGUUAUGGUUGUUGUCUCGUAUUAAUUUGGAUGGGAUUGGAAGUUUUUAGGGCGGUGCCGCCAGAAGGCGAUUUCCUGCGGCUAGGGUUCUUUGGAGAUGUGUGAGAUAAAAGAUUGAAG